rnacentral:sRNA from 1 species
UCUAUUUUUAAUGCACCCCUUCUUUUGUAGUGAGUUCCUAAAAUUGCCUAAUCACCUUCGAGAUCCUUACACCACCCCUUAUUGUUUUGCUGUGUUUUGUUUUUCAAAACAGGGUCUCAUGUUCAAAACUAAACUUCUGAUAUUCUUGCCUCUACCUCUUGAAUGUGAGUAUUAUAGGUGUUUCCCACCACACGCGUUUCAUGUUGUGAUUAAGCCCGUGGCUUCAUGCAUUCUGGGCAAGAACUCAAAUGAGUUACAUCCUCAGCCCUCGCCCAGACAACAGUGAGGUUUGUACUGUGGCUAGGUAGGCAAUGUAACAGCAGCAACUAGCGAACACACAUGAAGAAGUUUGUGACUUUUUCCUUUGCUCAAGAUCAUUUUUAGCCAGGUAUGAUGGCUUCUACCUGUAAUCCUGGCAUUUGGGUGGCUGAGCCAAGAAGAUUGCUAUGAGUUCAAGGCCAGCCUGAGCUACUUCAUAAGUUCCAGAUGUGCUUUGAAAUACAUUGUAGACAUCAUCUCAAAUGGGCAGAGGAAAAUGUUGAUCUUUGACUAAGAAGCUGGCAUUUAAGCAUUAAGAGAGUGAAACCACUCCUCAUACAGAAGCAUGCACUGAGCCCAGGGAGGCCUGAGAAGGGGCAAGGUCACUUUUUCCAAAGGUGGGAAUUUCUAGAUGCCUAUCGCUUCAGGAUCCAGGAGGAACUAUGUUGGCAGAACCUUCUUUUGGUCUCCCUUACAAGAAGAGGAGAACAAUGCCUUUGCCUUCAAUCCCUUCUUCCUCUGACAUGCCCCUGGGACAACACAUCAGGAUCCUGGCAAUGGCGGCACACAAGCUGCGCUGCUGUGGUGAUGAAAAUGUUUCCAAAACAACAACAAACUUUCCCAACAGAGUUCCUAUGUCCUAAAGAGGGAGACCCAGCCGAUCCCUGAUGGAGAAGUUCAUACUUGGAGGAAUCAGAGGCCAGAGAGACAGCUCAGCGGUGAAGAUGGUCCAAAUUCGACACCCAGCCUCCACAUGUUUGUAACUCCAGUUCCA